GACGAACGCUGGCGGCGUGCUUAACACAUGCAAGUCGAACGGAAAGGCCCUGCUUUUGUGGGGUGCUCGAGUGGCGAACGGGUGAGUAACACGUGAGUAACCUGCCCUUGACUUUGGGAUAACUUCAGGAAACUGGGGCUAAUACCGGAUAGGAGCUCCUGCUGCAUGGUGGGGGUUGGAAAGUUUCGGCGGUUGGGGAUGGACUCGCGGCUUAUCAGCUUGUUGGUGGGGUAGUGGCUUACCAAGGCUUUGACGGGUAGCCGGCCUGAGAGGGUGACCGGCCAAAUUGGGACGGAAGUACGGCCCAGAAUCCUACGGGAGGGAGCAGGGGGGAAUAGUGCACUAUGGGCGGAAGCCUUGUGCAGCAACGCCGCGUGCGGGAUGACGGCCUUCGGGUUGUAAACCGCUUUCGCCUGUGACGAAGCGUGAGUGACGGUAAUGGGUAAAGAAGCACCGGCUAACUACGUG
rnacentral:rRNA from 1 species